UGCUAAGAGCAGUGAAUGUCUACACUAGA
rnacentral:piRNA from 1 species